UGGUCUAUAAAUAAGAGCAAAGAAGAGAAGGUUUGCAGUAUCAACUUCCGAAAUGAAGGCCAUUCUACUUAUCUGCCUUCUCUUGGUGUCCACACUUUUCAUUAAUCCUUCUUCAGUUUUAGCUAGAGAAUUAGCUGCGAAAACCCCCAUUACAGUUGGAACCAAGAAUCCAAACAAGCCAGCAGUGAAAUGUGGUAGCAUCUCUUAUAGGAAUUGUCUCCCCUCAAAGCCACCGCCACCUAAAUCAUGUGGCCCGUACAAGCGUAAUUGCUAGCCCUGAAGCAGCAUGUGGUUGAGCAAUAAGGCAUGAUGAGGUUGCUCAUAUCUACUCUGUCGUCCAGUGGUUAAGAAGUAGGUUUUGUCUAUUGUAUAUAUAUAUAUAUGGUUUUUGGGGCUUCAUUAUUCUGAUUGCUUUGAUGUGCACUCAGAAGAAAUUAAACCUACCGUUUUUUUUUUUGGCAAUAAUUAAUGAACUCUAAGAACCUCUACCGUUUGAUGUAAUAUUGUAUGCAAAAUAAAAGAGCUGACAGAGUCAGUUGGUUUAU